rnacentral:lncRNA from 9 species
GCCCUCAGCGUCCACGGUCUGGGUCCAGGCGCGGGGGCAGUGCCCCUGCACGGCCAGCUGACGCAGCACACUGCCGGUGUCGUUUCCUCCCGCUUGAUUGUUCCUGCACAAAACAGGUCGUGGGCGGGAGAUCCUCCGGCGCGUCCGAGGCAGUGAGUGCUGUGCACAGUGGCUUCUGUGGCCUGAGUAUGCUGGCGAAGUGACUUUUUUCUUAUGCAUCAUCCUUGCGUUCCUCUCACGUGCAGCCUCGAACAUACAUCAUCUUGCCACGUCAAGCUUAAAAUCCCCCCGAGGUGAACAGAUGAGACUGAAUCUGCUGCGGAGGCCGCGGGCGACAGGCAGAGAGCAGCAGCAGGCCACGGGGCCACUGAAGGCAACGCGUGUAUCUGGGAAGCCAGGAGCCGUUUCUCUCAGACCUAGACUCGUAUCUGCCUCUAAGGUUUGACAGAUUCAUAUACUGCAUGUAAGACGGGUUAUAAUGAUGUCGAGUGUGGGCCAGUUUGUGCCCAUGAAUCUGGAGAAUGAUCCAGAAGAGACGACCGGUGUGAAGAAAAGAAGCCGCGGCCAUGGUCUCUCAGGUCUUUAUGUGAGCGUGCCAGGCUCCCGGAGCCCGGCGGGGCAUUUUAACUGGGAGAAAGGUGUGCUGUGUUUCACAGGGCUUGGCAGGAAUGGGCUAGCAGAAGCUCAGCCAGUUUCUAGCACACGUGGUUAAGGACAGUUCUCAAAGGAGGGAGAAUUUUUUCAGUGGAUGAGUAACGAUGACUGAGCAGUUUGGGUUUCAUCAAGAGGGCUGGGAAGGAAGAGCCAGGGGCGAGGAGGCGCCUGUGCAGGAGGGUGAGGAGCCACAGCCGUAGGGACAAGGAUAUGCGAGGGCCACUGUGGGAAACUGGCAGCCCUACAGCAUCUGUCCCACGUUAUGCAAUUAAACAGCUGGCGGGUGCUUUCUUUCAAGAAAGGGAAGUUAGGCUAACGAAGACCAGGCUUCUGUGGGUUUGUGUGGACUAAGACAUGCCCAUCUUGAAGUGGCAUCUGAACCAGGCAUUUUGGGGGCACAGUGGCUGUGGCCAUGCCAGGUGGGAACACUUCCUCCCCACUCCUGUCUCGAGGAAGGAGCUUGAUCAGAGGAUCUGUGGAUCUGUGCUGUCUCUCUUUGCCCCUGGAGAGGGAGAGCCAGACUCGAAAGGUGAGCUGGGAGGAAAAGCAGACAGUGCCCUUUCCCCCCCCCCGCCCCCGCAUACCAGACCAUCACAGCCGGUGCAAUCCGGUCAGCUCCCCUCGCUUGGCAGUGAACCUUUGCGGCUGAAAACCUCUGCCGGAUUCUACCAGUAAUGCCGUUGACGUCUGAUUUCCAUCUGUGAAUUAUGUUUCCACUAGUUCCAAACUCAGAAGAAGGGAGGCACGAGGGUUUAAUUAUCUACCUCCCAAAGGUAGGUCAGCAGGCCUGGGGAUUCUUGGGAUAAAUUUCAAAUGAUACAUUUUAAAUAAUACCAUUGGUACAUGGAGAAACUAUAUGUGGGUGUGAUCUGGGCCACUUUCUGAGUUAGUUUCAAACCAGGUAAUAGUGGCACCUUCGUCAUCACGAUUCUUCCUGAAGCACUUAGUGUCUGCCAGGCGGAGGCCUAAGCACCUUCCGUGGGUUGUCUCGGCUCUUAGAGCAAACCCGUUAGGUUUGCAUGACCAUCCGUCCUUUUUCAGGUGAGGUAACGGAGGGCUGGUGAGGCCGAGUAGCACGCUCAGGGUCACACUGCUGUCAGUGGUGGGGAACUGGCAGCCCUACAGCAGGCCGCACGGCUUCUCACACGCACGAGCUCCGCGUCUGUCCUCGGGCUGGGCCCCCUCACGCCCUCACGGUUCCUGGUGACUUGCACAAAUGGCCGCUCUAGGGUCUGGCCUUGAAACCGCUCUCCCUUCCUCCUGAUUCCCUAACACUUCGACUCUCUUUUGCUUUUGUCUUUCUCCGGUUCUGUAUCUGGACCUGGAUGGAUGCCUCUGACCCCAUUCUGGUUUGGUGAUCCUCUGACCUCUGCUGGUCUCUCUUGAUACCUCGGCUUUCCCAUGCAGCGUUUCACUUUGCUCAUUUCUUGACUUUGUGGUCCCACGUUACCAUGGUUGUAAAUAUCGGAUACAUCUUCAGUUCCUCCGAACGCGGUCUCUUUCUCUCUCCCCGUGAGAGGAAUAUGAUUCAGAGGGGUUGCAGGUUGGGAUUUAGACAAUAAAAUCUUAUAUAUGCAGUGCUCAUAACAGCCACGCGAGCCCGUGGUCAGAAAAGAAUUAUUCCCCUGGAAGAGCCUUUCGGUAUUUCCUUUCCUGCUGAGCGAUGCCUUUCUGCCUUUUGGAGAAAAGUGCCCAGCAGAGGACCACAAGCCACUGUUACUGCACACGGAAGAGUGGCCGAGGUGAGGCUGAGAUAAUCUGGGCUCGGAGCCAGGUGGUGGGAGAACGGAGAGGACACCAGAAACCCAAGUGCAAGUGUAAGCAGAUUGGGCACUGUGUCAGCGGGGCAGCUUUGCAUGGUAAAUGUGAGGUCGAAGCCAGCAGGGGUACGUGAAGAGGAAGGUGUGGGGAUGUGGGCUGGGCCCCUUCCAAGGACUCUUGAAACCUCAGGCUCACUUUGUCUGAAGGCACAGCACUCUCACCGUGGAGCCUUGACAACCAUCUUCUAGGUACCAGGACUCACUGCGGAGGUUAGUCCAUUUUGCUCACCUGGGAAGUCUGUGCAUCUGUGUCAAGUCUUUAUUAUGUGCAGAGCCCUUGUGGAGAGAAGACGAUGUUCUAGUGAACAAACUUCGUAUCUACAAGGGAAACAGUGAGAUGAGCCGUCCUUGUGGGAAAGGCUGGGAUUGUAGGACUCGCUGGAACAGUAGGGAGGGACAUGCAGCCAGCUGUCCUUGAGAAGUCAAGUUCCGCUUGCUGUGUAGGCCAUGUUAUCUAGUCUUGGCUUUGCAGGAUUAGUGGGAGUUAGCAGAGUCUGGGGGGAGCAGUAAGAGUAUUCCAGGGGACAUGCUAGAGAGCCUGAGGGCAAGAGAGCACAGCUCGCUGAAAAUUACCCACGAUGUGCAGAAGAGCAGACUCUGAGAGUGCGAGGUGGGCAGUACUGGGAAUGACUCUGCAAAGGACAGCAGGGAUCUGGUCAGCAGGGCUCGUAUCUCCUGUGGAGGGUUCUGGAAGCCCCUGAAGGAUUUUGCACAGGAGCAUGACCUGGUCAGGUGUCUGUUUUAGAGAAGUUUCUGUAGCUGCUCCAAGAGCAGAGAGGAGAAAUAGAAACUCAGACACAGGGCAAACCAGUGUGCAGGCUGUUGAACAGUCAAGAUGAGAUGUGACAGUGCUUUGAACGGGCGUGGUAGCUGCGUGAAUAGAGGGUGGGUGGGCUGAGAACGUCCAGAAGGUAUGAUCUUCAGGAUUCCAUUGUUCCUUGGUGCAGGAGUGGAGGGCGAGGGCUGAGGAGGGAUGGACUUGGUGGGUGGUACAGCCAUCGACUGAGAUGACGUGGGAGGAGAAUGGGGCGCUGGGGUCCUCUGAUGACUGUAGGUUUAGCCUGGGCCACGCUGCGCGUGAGGUGCCUGUGGGAUAAGCAAGUGGCCUGUCCAGUGAACGGCUGGAUAUGAGGGUCUGGAAGGUGGAUCUGGCUGGAGAAGGGGGAGUGGGUUCAGUCCAGAGCCUGCAGUGGAGGCCACAGGAGUGGGUGAGCUGGAGAGCUGCUCGUACGGAGGGACCAGACUAACUCGUAGUGCCUUUAGUCAUGAAAAGUGAUGGUGGCGGUUUGAAGAAAGCCUUAAAGUUUUCUGUGCUUUACUGCGAACAAAAGAUGUCUGGACUCAUUCCUUUAUGCAGCUUCAAAAAAUCAGCACAUCCACCAAUUUCCUUUAUUGCCUAUGGAUGGCCGAGGUUGUGUUUUUCAUUUGAAUACUUUGAACAUUCCUGUUCCAGGAAGAAGAACCUUUCAAAUACAAGACAAACUACAGGCUUCUGUGAAUAAUCUUUCUGUUUUACCCUGAUAAAGCAAUGAUUAUUGGGUAUUUAUUGGCUCCACCAUGGGUGCUCAUGUAAGGACACUUAACAGGAUGUAAAUAAUAAAUAGACACACCUGUCAUGGCAACUCACAAUGAAGAUUUGUCAGCAGGGAGCUAGAGAGGCAUGCAGCAGGGCCCUAUUUCUUACCCUCCUGGACGUCCCAGAGGCUAGCCUUGUCCCAUCAUUAAAUGUGUUUCUGAGCAAGAGACAACAUGCAGUGGGUGUGCUGGUAACUUAAACAGCUGAAUUUCUGGGAAAAGAGAAAAUUAAAAGCAAGCCUUGAUUUGUAGCAUUGCUGACUUCCGUGCCGCCAGUAUUCCCGUGGUGGUCAGGAAGGACAUGUGGAAGUUCCCGGGCCAGGGACUGAACCCACGCCACAGAGGUGACCCAAGCCACUACAGUGACACCACCAGAUCCCUAGCCUGCUGUGCCGCAAGGGAACUCCAUUUUGUUAGGGUUUUGACAAAAGAUGUAUCUUACAUUUUCUACCAGCUAUGUUGGGAGUGGUUCCCAGACAGGUGGAAGGUACUUCCACGAGUGUGUGUGUGAGGUCAAGGACGAGAGUGUGUGUGUGAGGUCACAGAGGACCAGCGUUGAGGGAGGAAGGGGGACAGAUGGGAAGGAUUCAUCAUAAAGAUCAGGCGGCAGGAGGACACGGCGGGCUUUCCCAUGGUUCGGUUCCCGGUGCCUCUGCUGCCCUGGGGGGCGGCUGCUGGGGUCGUGGCCCCUCUCCCAGGAGGGUUCCCAGGGGCGGCGCUGCGGAGGCUGCAGGACCACGGCUGCUGCUAGACUCCUGCCUGGGAAGGGGACUGGGGCUGGGACACAGCGCCCAGAGCACAUGGCAUCUGUCCAAACCGCUGCUGAUUAACAAGUGUUUCGGGGAGCGCCCCAUGUGGCUCAGUGGAAACGAAUCUGAUGCACAUCCUCAAGGACGCAGGUUCGAUUCCUGGCCUCGCUCAGUGGGUUAAGGAUCCUGCAUUGUUGUGAGCUGUGGUGUGGGUCACAGACGCGGCUCAGUUGCGGUGGCUGUGACGUAGGCCGGCAGCUGCAGCUCCGAUUUGACCCUUGGCCUGGGAACUUCCAUAUGCCAUGGCUGUGGCCCUAAAAAUACCAAAAAAAAAAAAAAAAAAAAAAAA